UCUGUCCUCUGUGGUGGAGAAUAAAGGGAAGCCAGGAAGUGUGGGUCAGGAUCUCUGGGAAACUGCUGGCUUCUAGCAAGGCUGGCACGGGUGUGUUCCCAUGGAAGGAAAGAACCAAAGGUGCUGCUUACCCUUGGAACUCAGCUGCUAUUUUGUAAGGAAGUCCAUGCCUCUGCUAGAUCUGCAGCCAAUAGCCAGCCUCACCACCAGAUGUGUAAAUGAGCCUCAGAUGAUGCCAGCCUCACCCUUCGAGUCUUCCAGUUGAGGCCCCAUUGUGCAGA
rnacentral:lncRNA from 1 species